rnacentral:rRNA from 1 species
GACGAACGCUGGCGGCGUGCUUAACACAUGCAAGUCGAACGGAAAGGCCCUGCUUUUGUGGGGUGCUCGAGUGGCGAACGGGUGAGUAACACGUGAGUAACCUGCCCUUGACUUUGGGAUAACUUCAGGAAACUGGGGCUAAUACCGGAUAGGAGCUCCUGCUGCAUGGUGGGGGUUGGAAAGUUUCGGCGGUUGGGGAUGGACUCGCGGCUUAUCAGCUUGUUGGUGGGGUAGUGGCUUACCAAGGCUUUGACGGGUAGCCGGCCUGGGAGGGUGCCCGGCCACAUUGGGCUUGAUAUGCGGCCCACACUCCUGCGGGGGGCAGCGGGGGGAAAUAUUGCACAAUGGGCGGAGGCCUGAGGCAGCAGCCCCGCGGGCGGGAUGGGGGCCUUCGGUUUGUAAACCGCUUUCGCCUGUGAGGAAGCGGGAGUGAGGGGAAGGGAUAAAGAAGCGCCGCCUAACUACGUG